rnacentral:rRNA from 1 species
CGGGAAUAUUGGACAAUGGGGGAAACCCUGAUCCAGCAAUGCCGCGUGAGUGAAGAAGGCCUUCGGGUUGUAAAACUCUUUCAUCAAUGAAGAUAAUGACAUUAAUUGAAGAAGAAGCUCCGGCUAACUCCGUGCCAGCAGCCGCGGUAAUACGGAGGGGGCUAGCGUUGUUCGGAAUUACUGGGCGUAAAGCGUAUGUAGGCGGAUCAAAAAGUUAGAUGUGAAAUCCCUGGGCUUAACCCAGGAACUGCAUUUAAAACUAGUGAUCUAGAAUUUGGUAGGGGUUAGUAGAAUUUCCAGUGUAGAGGUGAAAUUCGUAGAUAUUGGAAAGAAUACCAGUGGCGAAGGCGACUAACUGGGCCAUUUUUGACGCUGAGAUACGAAAGCGUGGGUAGCAAACAGG